rnacentral:tRNA from 2 species
GCCCGCGUAGCUCAGUGGUAGAGCAAGGCACUCGUAAUGCCUAGGUCGGAGGUUCGAAUCCUCUCGCGGGCU